rnacentral:lncRNA from 1 species
CUGGGGACCUCAGGGGAGGCAUUCUGCAGUGAGCCUGAGCGAUGACUGAACAGAGGUGUUGACUGCCUGUGCCUGUGGAAGGUUCAUCAUCUGCUUGAAGCUGAGCAUCCUGUAGGCUGAAAAUACUGCCUUUAAGAAUGAGGAAACCACAGCUGUGAAGUGAGAAUGAAUAUUAAGGAACUAUUUACAUCCAUGAGCAGAAGUUACAGCUAAGGUGUUUGGGUCCAGAGGAAAAACAGUCACUUGGAAGCAAACAAAAUAAGGAUUUAAAAUGAAGAUGGUACCUACAGGGAGAUCCAAGGUCUGACACACAGAUAUGGUUCCAAAUAAAGCUGGUGGUCCACAACUUCCAUUUAUCCCUGAGGACUGAACUCAACCCCAGCCCUCCUGCAGACUUGAGCUUAACGCAGAUACUGACCAAGGAUUUUUCUACCACCUGAUCCUAAGGAUGCAAUCACGGUCACAGUGGACUGUGUGUGGACAUGGUGUCUCUUCAGGUGGCUCUGGUCGCAGGUAGGUCUGAAGUACUGACAGCUCUGAGCUAGCCUUCCAGAAGGCGUGACUGCUCUCCCUGGGCCCCUGGGCUCUGUGCUCUCU